UAUGAAUUCAGCUAUGUUAACAGGUAUGCUGUGCAUUCAUUUUAAUUAUAAUUUUCUCUCAAAUACUAUUUACUUUUAUAUUAAGAAUUUGAAGUAAAUAUCAAAAAUUACUUAACAUGAAAAAUUAAUAAUAGCUCUUAAAAGAAUUGAUUUGUUACAAGUUAACCAGUUUUUUUCCUACACUUAAAAGAUUAGUUUUCAAAAAGUAAAUUUCAAUUAUUAUUUGAGGUCUCAGUUAGAAAUCUUGAUACAGUCUUAUUCCUACCUGUAAAUAUAUUCUAUUUCUUUUGCCAUAUUUUACAUACUCUUCACAACUCAUAUCUAGCCUUGACUUUUUAAGGUAGACAGGGCUUAUUCUCCUAUUCAUUUAUUAAGUGUCUCCCCUUUGCAAGGUGUUGUUGUAGGUGCUUGUGGUUCAGAGUGGUGGAAAAGAACCACUUACUCUUAAGGCUUAGAUUCUGUUAUAUUGAUUGUAUAGAGUGAUUUCAUGUUAACUUUGUGGGUGUGAAUUUUCUUAUACCUGCAAGUGAAAUUUCUGGGUCAUGUCAUAUCUAAAUGUAACCAUUUCAGAAGCUACCAGACUGUUUUCCAAAUUGGCUGCACCGUUUUACAUCCCCCAUGCCCCCAGCAGUGUAUGAGAAUUUCAGUUUCUUCACAACAUCACUGAUACUUGUUAAUAUCUGAUUUCUUUUGACUGUAGCCAUCCUAAUGGUAUGAAGUGGUACCUCAUUAUUGUUUUGAUUUGCAUUUUCAUAAUAUAUUUUUCAUGUGUUUAUUUGCCAUAUGUAAAUAUUCUUUGGAAAAAAUGUCCAUUCAUAUAUUUUUCCACUUUGAAAAUUAGGUUGUCUUUUACUGUUGAGUUGUAAGUCUUCUUUAUAUAUUCUAGAUUCAAAUCCCUAUCAGAGUGUGAUUUUUUUUUUCAUUUUCUUGAUUAUACCCUUUAAUCUAAAGGAGCUUUUAAUUUUGAUGAAAUCCAAUGUAACUAUUUUUUGUUUUGUUGCUUCUACUUUUCGAGUCACGUCUGAGAAUCCAUUGCCAAGCCUAUAGUUACACAGAUAUACUCCUAUGUUUCCUCCUGAGUUUUAACUCUUAGAUUUAUAGGUUUGGUCCAUUUUGUGUUAACUUUUGUAUAUGGUAUGAGGAAAGGUGCCAGUUUCAUUCCUUACCUGUGGUAUGCCUUUGUUUGUUGAGAGACAUUGUCUUAAGAGUUUUCACACUGAGUUCCAUGUCUACAGGUCUUGUCUCUCUGUCCUGCUACUUACUAGUGGAAUUCCUGGCAUAGCUUUCCUGAACUUGUUCUGAUGUGUAUUGUGUGUGGUUGUUAGUAAUCUGUAAGUGUGGUUACUGAAUACCUCAUCAUAAACAGCUUUUUACUUAAAAGACUUUUACUUAAAAGUCCACCCUAAUGUUUACAUGUACUUUUCAUUCAACAUUUGAGUAAAUAAAUACUUCCUCA
rnacentral:lncRNA from 1 species